ACAAACUUGGUCAUUUAGAGGAAGUAAAAGUCGUAACAAGGUUUCCGUAGGUGAACCUGCGGAAGGAUCAUCACUGAUUCGGGGUGCGCGCCAGUGCGGGAGACUGCGCUGGGGUGCGCAUCCCAACCAAUCUUGUGUGAACUGUAACGCGCGAGCGCUGCGUGGUGGAGUGGUUGGCGGUACGGGGGAGACCCCCCACCGCCAACCGCCGCCAUGCGAGCACACAAUUACCUCUACCAAUCUUGUCUAACAUUACACACACUAAAUUAACACAACUUUUAACAAUGGAUCUCUUGGCUCUCGCAUCGAUGAAGAACGCAGC
rnacentral:misc_RNA from 1 species